rnacentral:rRNA from 1 species
GAUGAACGCUGGCGGCGUGCCUAAUACAUGCAAGUCGAGCGAACAGAUGAGGAGCUUGCUCCUCUGACGUUAGCGGCGGACGGGUGAGUAACACGUGGAUAACCUACCUAUAAGACUGGGAUAACUUCGGGAAACCGGAGCUAAUACCGGAUAAUAUAUUGAACCGCAUGGUUCAAUAGUGAAAGACGGUUUUGCUGUCACUUAUAGAUGGAUCCGCGCCGCAUUAGCUAGUUGGUAAGGUAACGGCUUACCAAGGCAACGAUGCGUAGCCGACCUGAGAGGGUGAUCGGCCACACUGGAACUGAGACACGGUCCAGACUCCUACGGGAGGCAGCAGUAGGGAAUCUUCCGCAAUGGGCGAAAGCUUGACGGAGCAACGCCGCGUGAGUGAUGAAGGUCUUCGGAUCGUAAAACUCUGUUAUUAGGGAAGAACAAAUGUGUAAGUAACUAUGCACGUCUUGACGGUACCUAAUCGGAAAGCCACGGCUAACUACGUG